GCCUGCAUGGCUCAGUCGGUUAAGCGUCUGACUUUGGCUCAGGUCACGAUCUCACGGUUUGUGAGUUCGAGCCCCAUGUCAGGCU
rnacentral:tRNA from 1 species